rnacentral:rRNA from 1 species
UGAGGAAUCUUGCGCAAUGGGGAAACCCCGACGCAGCAACGCCGCGUGAGUGAGGAAGGUCUUCGGGUCGUAAAGCUCUGUCAGGCGGGAAGAAAUGCAUGGAGGUGAACAGCCGCCAUGCUUUACGGUACCGCCAGAGGAAGCACCGGCUAACUCCGAGCCAGCAGCCGCGGUAAUACGGGGGGUGCAAGCGUUGUUCGGAAUCAUUGGGCGUAAAGAGCGUGUAGGCGGCUUGGUAAGUCAGAUGUGAAAGCCCUGGGCUCAACCCGGGAAGUGCAUUUGAAACUGCCAGGCUCGAGUAGGGGAGAGGGAAGUGGAAUUCCUGGUGUAGAGGUGAAAUUCGUAGAUAUCAGGAGGAACACCGGUGGCGAAGGCGACUUCCUGGCCCUAUACUGACGCUGAGACGCGAGAGCGUGGGUAGCAAACAG